UACGGGGGAAAGCAGGGGACCUUCGGGCCUUGCGCGAUUGGAUGAACCCAGGUGGGAUUAGCUAGUUGGUGAGGUAAUGGCUCACCAAGGCGACGAUCCCUAGCUGGUCUGAGAGGAUGAUCAGCCACACUGGAACUGAGACACGGUCCAGACUCCUACGGGAGGCAGCAGUGGGGAAUAUUGCACAAUGGGGGAAACCCUGAUGCAGCCAUGCCGCGUGUGUGAAGAAGGCCUUCGGGUUGUAAAGCACUUUCAGCGAGGAGGAAAGGUUGGUAGCUAAUAACUGCCAGCUGUGACGUU
rnacentral:rRNA from 1 species